rnacentral:rRNA from 1 species
UACGAAGGGGGCUAGCGUUGCUCGGAAUUACUGGGCGUAAAGGGCGCGUAGGCGGGUCGUCAAGUUGGGGGUGAAAGCCCAGGGCUCAACCCUGGAACUGCCUUCAAAACUGGCGACCUAGAGUAUGGUAGAGGUGUGUGGAACUCCGAGUGUAGAGGUGAAAUUCGUAGAUAUUCGGAAGAACACCAGUGGCGAAGGCGACACACUGGGCCAUUACUGACGCUGAGGCGCGAAAGCGUGGGGAGCAAAC